CCUGUAAACGCCACUCAAGCUCAUAUGAAAGUUGGAAAAUUUUUGAUGCCUUUGUUGUUUCUUGUUCCUGUGGUCUGCAUUGUGCUAGGAGCAUAUUUAUUAAGAAUUUCUCCGAAUCUAUCAGAAGAGUUCAUGAAACAUCUACCUGAACAGAUGUGAAAGGGACCUCGCAAUGUCACCUCAGGACUGAGUCAUCCACCUUGGAUUAUGCGUUUAUAGAAAUACCACAGACUUAAUGAGACGUAUAUCCAUGUGGACUAUUAUGAAUGGGUCAAGCGGAAAUGAACCUGACCGGGGAACGGUCCUCAAACAGUGGCAACUGCAUCGAUCUACACAGUUCAUUCCUCUUAAAAGUUUCCGUAGCUCCUUGACAUGAAGACUAUUACAUCUUAUCUUAAGACUCCCUCGGUAGCACCGAGGGCAGGAUUUGAACUCAGGGUCAUUGGAAGACAGUCCAAAGCGCAUACCACUCGACCAGGACAUCAUUCUUUUCAUGGACAUAGGUCUAUGUCACCCAAAAAUGUAUUCUGGAAACAUUGAAAUGUAUCUUUAGACACCUACAACCUGAUAGUGUGGGUUUGAUGUAAUUAUGGGGCAAAAGUUGGACACUUUUAGUUCAACUAAAAAAAAUUAAUUAAGGCCAAGGUUUAACUAGAAAAAAAAAGUUAAAAUCGUAGUUUAAUUAAUUUUUUUUGUAACAAUCCAAAAAGUUUAAUUAAAAUGUGUACAACUUUUCAACAUGUGGUCAGGGUUGAAACGCUCAUCCCUGUUUUCUUGACAUGUGAUGUCAACAACUUUGAUUAUAAAAAAAUGAUGCAGUUAACAACUAUUUAGUCAGUCUGCACUUGAAGAGGGUAAGGUAAGGUGCUGGUCGAAGUUAUGUGAGUCAAUAUCUGAACUUGAAAGUAGCAGUAUUAUAAAAUGUUCACACUUUUUUUUUGCUAAAAGCUUCUAUGCUAUAUUAUGAAUGGGGUUGUUCCGAAUAUUUUUCUGAGUGACGUGGUGGGGUCUAGUUUCUGUUUAUAGUGGGCAUCUGAUUAGCGAGUUAGGUCAAUAUUUAGUGAUUUUAAUCAAUUCAUUUGUGGCAAAACAAUAAUUUAUUAACUGCAAGAACAUCAAGUACACCCUUUUUAUAGCUGAAACCUUAGAUGAAGCCGAAACCUAUAAUAGAUUCUAGUCUUUAGACUUAUUAUUGAGAUUUAGGUCUAAAUUGAAAGGCCUAUAUAGAUCUAAAAGCAUUAGGAUAACCAACUUUAGAAAAAAAACACAUUUUAAUUCACACCCUCCCUGACCAAAAAUAAAUAAACUGUGUCCGAGUGAUUUUAAAAACCUGGUACAAAUGCCCGUAUACCACGCCAAUAGUCGAUGAUACAAUAAGACUACCCUGCGUUGUUUUUUUCAUUGCAUGUUACGUAAUAGGGUUUGCUUAACUCUUUCUCUCUGUAAUUAUUUACCACAUUCUGGUGGAAUCAACGCUGGUAUCGUCAGUUAGGAGAGAAAGAGUUAAUGUCAAGUGGUCAGACGAAAACACACUGGCAGGGUUAGUCAAGCAUGUUCUUAGAUCUAUCUUUACACCAAAAUAGUUACACUCCUAUCCUGCCCAGAAAGUAAAUAGACUGUGUCCGAAUGGUUUUAACAACUUGGUCAGAUAGAAGUACACAAGUAGGCCUGGUGUACUGUAGCAUGUACUACUUGUAGUCUAUAAUGGCAAGACCACCCACAGCGUUUUCUUUCCUUGCGCAUUUAACAGUUAUGUAAUAGAGUUAGUUGUAUGGUGAAUGGUCAGACAAGAAAUUAACACAUUGGCAUGGUUAGUCAAGUAUGUACUUUACACUACACUAAAAUAGUUACACAGGUCAAAUGUUUCAUAACAAUCCGACAAUUUAUUUUCUAAUUCAUUUAUUACUAGAUCCGUUAAAUAAUUACUUAAUAUAUAUAUUUUUUUUAGUACCAGGUACAAGCACACAUACUUAUUAAGACAUCUUUUUUUUUUCUAAUUUUAUUGUGCAUUAAUGUUUAUGUAGUAAACAUCUUCCUCAUUACUGAUUUUAUUAUGGAUAAAUAUUUCUACAAUGUUAAAAGAAUUAGAUCGAACCGUAGGCAUACGGUUAUAUGAUUAUAGGUAGGUCUAGAUCAAACUCCCUUUAAAAAAAAGGUUAUGAAAUAGUUUUUAUGGUUUAAUUAAUUUUCGUUAGUUUAGUUUAACUCUAUUUUGAAAUUCAUGAUAAACUUUUAGUUAAAUUACUUUAUUUUAGUUGAAACUUAGUUUUAGUUUAAUUUAUUAAAUUUUGUUUAGUUUUCAUUUCGUCAGCACUAGUUUCAUGUUUAUAAAGCUGUCUGUCUGUCUCUCUGUAUGCUAAAAGGUUUUUACAAUGUUAUAAGGAUUAGAUCGAGCCGUAGGCAUACAGUCUUGUUUGUAAAAUGUUUUACAUGUUUCGGAUGUUCCUUCAGAGUUGAAGAUAGUUUACUUCCUAGUCCAAACCUCCCGCAGGACGACGGGGGAUGGGAGCGGGCAGGGUUUGAACCCUCGACCGUCGAUAAAUCCGAACGACAGUCCAGCGCGCAAACCGCGCGACCAGGCAGUAUGAUUAUAGUUAGUUCUAGAUCAAACACCGCCCACCGAUUUAAAAAAAAACAAUGAAAUAGUUCGUAUAGUUUAGUUUCACUAUAUUUUGAAAUUCAUGAUAAACUUUUUGUUCAACUAUUUUAUUUUAGUUAAAACUUUUAGUUUAACUUUUAAAUUUAGUUUCGUUUCCAUCACUAGUUUCAUGUUUUGAAAGCUUAUAUCAACUCACUCUGUUUGUCUGUUUAAAAGCUUGUACACAUUAUUUCUCUGACCUCCAAUCUGGGAUGAAGCUGAAAUUUUUAUUUUUUUAGUUGACAAAAUAGGUUUUUUUUUUAAAAAAAAGCAAAUUAGUUAAUUAACUAUUGGUUAUAAAUUAUUUUAGUUGGCAUUGAACAAGGGAAAGAAAUCUUACUUGACAGAUGUGGUGGUAUAAGUUUAAUUAUUCCCCUUGAGGAGUCAUGAUCUGUUAAUGAAAAUGUUUUUAAUGCAUUUUAUGUAUUUAAAAAGCGAUCACGGAAACAUUCACAGAGAUACGCCUUUCUUCGCCCCGCCCCUCCUCCUUUUCCCAUCUAAAGCUAAAAGCAUGAAAUGGCGCUAAACAAAAAUAAUCAGUAAAAAUAUUUCUAAUCGCACAGAUUUAUCGUUGUUAGUCUAUCUAUCUAUCUAUCUAUCUAUCUAUCUAUCUAUCUAUCUAUCUAUCUAUCUAUCUAUCUAUAGUUCGUCAAUCGUGGCUCGAUGAUGACCACUUAGUCAUCCAGGGGGCUGAGGGCUUUGCACUGUGGUUUUAUGCCUCCUCAUGUGGGUGGUGAGACCUAUGUGAGCCCGGAAUGUUCGGCCGCACACUGGGCAGGUUAUUCCAGCUCGAGCUAGUGUCGUUUGCCUUGCUUUUCUUUUCUGGCGUUUUUCUUCUGCCAGCGUUGUUCUUUUUUCCUCAGCAACCUGUGCGCCAGUUUUCACAGCGCGACGCCAUGAUGCUCUAUCAUGUCUCUCUGUCUCCCAGAUGCUUGGAUCUAUCUAUCUUUUUGUCAAUUAUCAAUCUAUCUAUAGUUCGUCCAUUGGGGUUAAAUAAAUAGCCACUUUCGUCCCCCAGGCGGCUGAGGGCUUUGCCCUGGGGUUUAGACCCUCCUCGUGUGGCUGGUGGGACCUACGUAAACGUCCAUGGGGUUGUCUUCCCUUUGUCGCUUGUCACAGUCUCUAUAUGUUUGACUAGCAUAUGUAGAUCAAGACCUACGUCAAUGUAACUUUAAAUGUGUUUUUUAAAACCUUUAUUCAAUUUGUUAACUGAAAUAACGUAUUUUUAUGUAAACAAGAAAAACUAUUUAACUUUUAACCUUUACCAGUAUAUGGAAUCCUUUUUUUUU